rnacentral:rRNA from 1 species
AAAUUCUUAACGGCCGCGGUACUAAAACCGUGCAAAGGUAGCACAAUCACUUGUCCCUUAAAUGAGGACCCGUAUGAAAGGCAACAUGAGAGAAGACCUGUCUCCUAAGGCCAGCCAAUGAAAUUGAACUACCAGUACAAAAGCUGGUAUAUACAAGCAAGACAAAAAGACCCUAUGGAACUUUAACAAAUUAUUUACACGACAUAAAUUAUAGUUUCAGUUGGGACAACUUUAGAGAAAAUUAACCCCGACCCAGUCACACUGAUUAACGAAACAAGCUACCCUAGGGAUAACAGCGCUACCUUCUCAAAGAGUCCAUAUCAACAAGAAGAUCUACGACCUCGAUGUUGGAUCAGGGUACCCCGACGGUGCAGCAGCUGUCAAGGGUUCGUUUGUUCAACGAUUAACACCC